rnacentral:sRNA from 1 species
AAAAAAGAUGGGCGCAAUGCCCAUCUUUUCAAUCGAGGUCGCACCCGGGCAGCGAAAAAACUACGUGCCCAACGGCUAAUUUUAGCCAUUU